GAUGAACGCUGGCGGCGUGCCUAACACAUGCAAGUCGAGCGAUUCUCUUCGGAGAAGAGCGGCGGACGGGUGAGUAACGCGUGGGUAACCUGCCCUGUACACACGGAUAACAUACCGAAAGGUAUGCUAAUACGAGAUAAUAUGCUUUUAUCGCAUGGGAGAAGUAUCAAAGCUCCGGCGGUACAGGAUGGACCCGCGUCUGAUUAGCUAGUUGGUAAGGUAACGGCUUACCAAGGCGACGAUCAGUAGCCGACCUGAGAGGGUGAUCGGCCACAUUGGAACUGAGACACGGUCCAAACUCCUACGAGAGGCAGCAGUGGGGAAUAUUGCACAAUGGGCGAAAGCCUGAUGCAGCAACGCCGCGUGAGCGAUGAAGGCCUUCGGGUCGUAAAGCUCUGUCCUCAAGGAAGAUAAUGACGGUACUUGAGGAGGAAGCCCCGGCUAACUACGUGCCAGCCGCCGCCGUAA
rnacentral:rRNA from 1 species